GACUCUCGACAAUGGAUAUCUCAGCUCUCGCCACGAUGAAGAAUGUAGUGAAAUGCAAUACUUAGUGUGAAUUUCAAAAUCUCGUGAAUCAUCGAGUCUUUGACCGCAACUUGCACCUGAGGCCUCGGCCGAGGGAAUGUCUGCAUAGGCGUCG